GAGCCCUCAUAAGGCUACUUGUGAGCAGAGCUUAGGAGGCUAAGACAGAAGGGGAAAGGAGGUCUCCAUACAGCCCAAAGAAGAUACCACAAAACUCCUGUUUGGAUCCUGUCUGGAGUCACAGCU
rnacentral:snoRNA from 1 species